UCGCUAGGUUGCUGAGUCCAAUAUGCCUUGAAUCAUGAAGCCGAACUGGUAUAUAGGCCAGGUUACAUAGAUCCACUUUAAACACUCAGCCUGCGCUAAUUCACCUAGUAAGGAUUUCCCUCCAAAACACGAAGACAACAAAGAAAAAUACAAGUUAGAUACCAGUUCAGCUUCGUGUUUCGGAGGAAAUCCUUACUAGGUGAAUUAGUGCAGGCUGAGAGUUUAAAGUGGAUCUAUGUAAUCUGGUUUUUUUUUUUUUCUUCAGUUAAAGAGGUUUUGCUGCUUGGAAGAGUUGUGUGG
rnacentral:pre_miRNA from 1 species